rnacentral:lncRNA from 1 species
GGGAAGCUGAGGCAGGAGAAUGGUGUAAGCUUGCAGUGAGCAGAGAUGGGCUUACUGCACUCCAGCCUGGGUGACAGAGCAAGACUCCGUCUCAAAAAAAGAAAAAGAAGAAUGUAUUUUUUACAACACAAUCAAAUCAAUGCCUUAAAACUAGGCUGUCAUCACAUUUUUCCCCCCGUUUUACAUACUUAAAUUGGCUAAAUCAAGAAUAGGGGCUGGCUCUCAGUCCCUACCUCGUGGGGGGUGCCUCCCCUCCCUGCGAUGGGGGUCCUAAGAGCCUGGGGCGGAAGAGGGGCUGGCUCUCAGCCACCACAAAAUGGGGAGCCUUUAUGUUCAGGUUUUGCCCAAGAGUCAGCUUAUUUGCUUCUGGUACUAGCAGGGCAGUUGAUGCCGUGGCCUUCAAACAUGGGGGCCAUCCUUUAGAAACCCUUUCUAUUUGUUUAGACACGUAGGCCACCGGCCUCAGCCAGGGCCCCAGAGUUUCGGUUAAAAUUCCAGCUGCCAUCUUUUCUCUAUCUGACGCAUUCAAUGGAAAAGGCUUUGUCAGAUCUGGUAGCCCCGGGGCUGGGGCUGCCAGAAGUUUUUCCUUUAACUCAUGAAAGACUUGCUGUUGUUGGGAUCCCCAUUCUAAAGGUUCCCGGUCCCCGCCCCCUUUGUGACCUCAUACAAAGACUUGGCUAAUACUGCAAAGUUUGGGAUGCACAGUCUACAAAACCCCACAGCCCCUAAGAAUUCCCUCACCUGCCUUCUGCCCUUAGGCUCCGGUAGAUUGCAAAUGACCUGCUUUCUUUCUGUUCCCGGGCGUUUGGACCCCUGUCUUGGACCGCUGUCGGAUAGUAAAUCCCAAGUAAGGUACCUGCCGUCGGCAGAUUUGAGCUUUCUUCUUGGACACCUAAUACCCAGAGUCCUCCAGGCUCCGGUAGAUUGCAAAUGACCUGCUUUCUUUCUGUUCCCGGGCGGCAUCGGACCCGUCGGAGAGUAAAUCCCAAGUAAGGUACCUGCCGUUGGCAGAUUUGAGCUUUCUUCUUGGACACCUAAUACCCACAGUCCUCCAGGUGAGUCCUAAGUAUCUUAGGAUCCGCGAUGGGGGUCCUAAGGCAGGGGGGGAAGAGGGGAUGGCUGUCACCCAACCCAAAAUGGGCGGCCUUUAUGUUCAGGUUUUGCCCAAGAGUCAGCUUAUUUGCUUCUUGUACUAUCAGGGCAGUUGAUGCCACGGCCCUCAAACAGGGGGGCCAUCCUUUAGAAACCCUCUCUAGUUGUUUAGAGACGUAGGACAUUGGCCUCAUCCAGGGCCCCAGAGUUUCGGUUAAAAGUCCAGCUGCCAUCUUUUCUCUAUCUGACGCGUUCAACGGAAAAGGCUUUGUCAGAUCGGGUAGCCCCAGGGCUGGGGCUGCCAGAAGUUUUUCCUUUAACUCAUGAAAGACUUGCUGUUGUUGGGAUCCCUAUUCCAAAGGUUCCCGGUCCCUGCCCCCUUUGUGACCUCAUACAAAGACUUGGCUAAUACUGCAAAGUUUGGGAUGCACAGUCUACAAAACCCCACAGCCCCUGAGAAUUCCCUCACCUGCCUUCUGCCCUUAGGCUCCGGUAGAUUGCAAAUGACCUGCUUUCUUUCUGUUCCCGGGUGGCAUCGACCCGUCGGAGAGUAAAUCCCAAGUAAGGUACCUGCCGUUGGCAGAUUUGAGCUUUCUUCUUGGACACCUAAUACCCACAGUCCUCCAGGUGAGUCCUAAGGAUCUUAGGAUACGCGAUGGGGGUCCUAAGGCAGGGGGGGAAGAGGGGAUGGCUGUCACCCAACCCAAAAUGGGCGGCCUUUAUGUUCAGGUUUUGCCCAAGAGUCAGCUUAUUUGCUUCUUGUACUAUCAGGGCAGUUGAUGCCACGGCCCUCAAACAUGAGGGGCCAUCCUUUAGAAACCCUCUCUAGUUGUUUAGACAACUAGGCCACCGGCCUCAGCCAGGGCCCCAGAGUUUCGGUUAAAAGUCCAGCUGCCAUCUUUUCUCUAUCUGACGCAUUCAAUGGAAAAGGCUUUGUCAGAUCGGGUAGCCCCAGGGCUGGGGCUGCCAGAAGUUUUUCCUUUAACUCCUGAAAGACUUUUUGUUCUUGGGAUCCCCAUUCCAAAGGUUCCGUUCCCCGCCCCCUUUGUGACCUCAUACAAAGGCUUGGCUAAUACUGCAAAGUUUGGGAUCCAGUCUACAAAACCCCACAGCUCCCAAGAAUUCCCUUACCUGCCUUCUGCCCUUAGGCUCCGGUAGAUUGUAAAUAACCUGCUUUCUUUCUGUUCCCGGGCUGCGUUCGGACCCCUGUCGGAUAGUAAAUCCCAAGCAAGGUACCUGCCGUCAGCAGAUUUGAGCUUUCUUCUUGGACACCUAAUACCCACAGUCCUCCAGGCUCCGGUAGAUUGCAAAUGACCUGCUUUCUUUCUGUUCCCGGGCUGCGUUCGGACCCCUGUCGGAUAGUAACUCCCAAGUAAGGUACCUGCCGUCGGCAGAUUGGAGCUUUCUUCUUGGAGACCUAAUACCCACAGUCCUCCAGGCUCCGGUAGAUUGCAAAUGACCUGCUUUCUUUCUGUUCCCGGGCUGCGUUCGGACCCCUGUCGGAGAGUAAAUCCGAAAAAAACAAACAAAGACAUGGAUUUACUGUGCAUAUUAGCAGAUCCAUACUGGAAAAUGCAUGGAGGUUUCAUAUACACCACUUACAGGUUUCCAAAGCCACAAUUUCCUUCAUAUGUUCAAACUCUUCAGGAUGCAGAAAGGCAGUGAACUCCUCCGGAGUAGCUGUCAGGUCACCAUUGAGGUCUGCAGCUUUGAAUCUUCUCUCAUCACGUGGCAGCAUCUUUUUAAAGGUGUGAUGAUCUGAAGAAUCAUGAAACUCUGCGGGGUUUCCUAGGUUUUCAGCUCCUCAGUAGUGACAAAGCCAUACCCAUCAUUGUCGAUUCGAUCAACAAUCUUCCCUAGCCUCUCCUUGCUCUCGUCCGGGGUGAGCUCGUCGAAGUUCUUGGAGUCCUCCUUGCCCAGGAAGGCCUCGUGGUCGUACUGGAAGCUCUGGUUGUCCUCAGGGGGCCGCUCGCCCAGCUCCGAGUCGGGCCGCACCACGCGCUCUUUGCGCACCGUGGGCUUGGCCCGCAGAACCCGCGGCGCCAGCACCAGCGCCAGCAGCAGCCCCAGGGCUAACCCCAGGCGGCCACCGCGCGCCAUCGUCCCGAGGAGAGGGCGGCCGGGAGGGAGACGCUGAGCGAGCGACAACAGCGGCAGCUCGGGAAUGGGGGCUCGGAGCGCGGCGGCCAAGUUUUAUGUUAUGUAUAUUUUACAAGUAAAAAAAUUUUUUCACCUCAGCCUGAACUGAACACUAGCUGACAGACGUUUUGAUUUCUUUGACCAUCACGGAAUCGUGGCCAAGCGCGGUGGCUCACAUCUGUAAUCCCAACACUUUGGGAGGUCAAGAUGGGCGGAUUGCUUGAAUCCAGGUGUUUGAGAUCAGCCUGGGCAACAUGACAAAACCCUGUUUCUAGUAAAAAUACAAAAAUUAACCAGGCUCAAGCCAUGACCAUGCACCAUUGC